CGGUCAAUCCAAGACAGGCACUUCCGUGGAGGGCAGGUCAGGCCCAGCGCUCAGCUGACACAUGUUGUUUGGGUUACCCCCACCUAGGGGCCAAGGGAAACCCUUGGCCUUCUGAAGGUUCUCUGAAAAAUCAACUCACAAAAGGGAGAUCAAUUGGAAAAAAGACAUGUAAAUUUAUUUAACGUGUAUACACGGGAGCCUUCAGAAUGAAGACCCAAAGAUACAGGGGAUAUUGUCCACUUUUAUGCUUAAGUUCAACGAAGUAUGGACAGCCAUGUAGAAAUAGGAUUGGACAAAAAGUCCAUCCUGAUGGACUGACUGGGGACACCCAGCAAAGCCUAUCUGUCUAGAAUCUUCUUGGCCUCUCCGAGCAGCAUUUCCUUCUGGGUGUGGGGCAGGACCCUCUCUGGAAAGGAAAUCUUCUGCCCUGCUGUCAAACAAGCUCGAUCAGAUAAUUUUUCAUGAGAGGUCCUCGCUUGCCUGACAUCAGAGAAAAUGAAUACAUGACAGAAGAAACAGAAGAAAAUGGAAGAAUCAAGCUCCAAAAUAAAAUCCUGACAAGUCUGAGAUGUAAAAAUAAUCCAUUCAUAACACCUUAUUCUCCAUGCAGAUAUCCCUGUGUGACCCUAGAAUUUAGGAUCUUCCAAUGCUGGGGAUGUGAUGUCACUAGACUCCAGCCUUGUGCCCUUUCUGUCAGUGCCUCUACCUGUCCUUGGUCUGCUGAGCACUCCCCUUCUCAGGGCACACCUUACCUGCACGGUGCUCCAGGACACCUGGUUUUCCUUGUCCACUUCACACCUACCCGUUCUCUCCCAAGCCAAGGUAAUGGGAGGCUCCUCAGAAUCCAGUCCUCCAGGCUCCCAUUCCAUUCAGAAAACACGGCCUUUCCCCCCCCAUUUCUCCUGAAUCUUCAGUGCCACACAUGCUAUUGUUCCUCUGUUUUUUAGAAGUCAUCGCUCUCAAGCCAUCAUUUUAUUCUCACUCUCCUUUUUGGACUCCCCCCAACACUUCUCUCUAGUCUCCUAAUUAUGCUCUGUUCAAGGGCACCAGAGUUCAAGCUUGUCUUUUACACACAAUGUAAAAGCAGGUCGAAUAAGAUGGUAUAGUCGUAUAGACUACAGCCUUGUACAGUCAUGCACGGAGUGUAGAGGGGUGGGACAGGAGACACGUUCAGGGGUCUAGAUAGGAGAAGGCGUGGGUGUCAGAAUGAAGUUGGGAUAGAGGUUGAAGUAGAAGUACAGAAGUAGAAGCAAGAGCUUGAGCUCUGGAGUUAGAUAUCACCUUUUUCAUAAGCUUCAGUUUCCCUUUUUGUAAAAUAGGCACAAUGAUGCUGGCAUGAAAAAGUUAUUAAACAGACUAAAUUUGA